rnacentral:lncRNA from 1 species
UCCUUCCUCCUCUCCGACGACGAGCGACCGACCGACCCUUGUCCUCUCCGGCGCCGAGCGACGUCCGACGCCAAGCUCCUCUCGUCCUCUCUCCUCUCCGGCGCCGAGCGACCGUCCGCAUCCUCCUCUCUCGUCUCCGGCGCCGAGCGACCGGCCACCAGUACGGACACCGCUUCAAGAGCUCAAAAAGCGAAGAGGCUCCGGACCAUCUACGACAAGCUC